rnacentral:tRNA from 1 species
GCCUCCUUAGCUCAGCUGGUAGAGCAACUGACUUGUAAUCAGUAGGUCGUUGGUUCGAUUCCGACAGGAGGCUC